UACUUGGAAACUGUGGUAAUUCUAGAGCUAAUACACGCACAAAGCUCCAACCCUUUGGGGAGGAGUGCAUUUAUUAGAACAAAACCAAUCGGACUUCGGUCUGUCUAUUGGUGAAUCUGAAUAACUCAGCAGAUCGCAUGGUCUUGCACCAGCGACGCAUCUUUCAAGUGUCUGCCUUAUCAACUGUUGAUGGUAGUUUAUGCGACUACCAUGGUUGUAACGGGUAACGGAGAAUAAGGGUUCGACUCCGGAGAGGGAGCCUGAGAAACGGCUACCACAUCCAAGGAAGGCAGCAGGCGCGUAAAUUACCCACUCUCGGCACGAGGAGGUAGUGACGAAAAAUAACGAGACGGUUCUCAUUGAGGCCCGUUAUCGGAAUGAGUACAAUCUAAACCUUUUAACGAGGAUCUAUCAGAGGGCAAGUCUGGUGCCAGCAGCCGCGGUAAUUCCAGCUCUGAAGGUGUAUACCACCGUUGUUGCGGUUAAAACGCUCGUAGUUGGAUCUACGUUCGUGGGAUCGGUGUUCUCGUUUGAGUUCUACUGGUUACCUGAACUGAUUUGGCUGGUUUUCCUUUUGUGCUCUUUACUGGGUGCACUAGGUGGCUAGCAAGUUUACUUUGAAAAAAUUAGAGUGCUCAAAACAGGCGAAUGUCUGAAUAGUGGUGCAUGGAAUAAUGGAAUAGGAUCUUGGUCCUAUUUUGUUGGUUUUCGGGAGCCAAGAUAAUGAUUAAGAGGGACAGACGGGGGCAUUCGUAUUGCAGCGUUAGAGGUGAAAUUCUUGGAUCGUUGCAAGACGAACAACUGCGAAAGCAUUUGCCAAGAAUGUUUCAUAAUCAAGAACGCAUGGGUG
rnacentral:rRNA from 1 species